GAGCCGGUACAGGACAGGUCGUCUGAUGGCUCUCAGUCGUCGUGGAUACACUGCCGGACCAGGGGAUCGGUCUGAUGACGACUCCUUCCCUCCUCAAUUUUCUCUCCACAAUCUUAACCAUCCGAGCUCCGUAGAAACUGUCGCCACAGAUCCCUGGAUGCGGCCAGGAACAUCGGACACACUGAAAUGUUCGGACCGUCCAUCGAGGAGGGAGUGGUUGGCAACAUAGGACCGACCCUGUUGCUCAAACCUGAGAGGUUCCUCGUACUUUUGGAAGUCAGUUGUACCACAGACUUCCCUGUCUUUGAAUUAUGAGACUAGGACGGGUUUUAACUCGUGGCUUUUGUGACAAAUGGAUGCCAGUAUGAAUGACAAAUGAUACCUGUUAUGUACUUUUAUUUGACCAAUGACUAAAUUAUGUUUUAAAUAAAUGUAUAAUUAUAAACUGUAGGGUGAUACUUUGCAUCCUUUGACAAGCCAUCACAGCCUCAACUCUACAAAAGUUUAACGUGAUGUUUUCCAACACAUUACUUUUAUAAUAUUUAAGAUCAUACAUAGUUUGAUGAUCUCUGCGAUAUCUUUCUGGUCAGCAGCCAAAUUAGCUUAGCUUAGCUUAGACUGGAAAUUGGGGAGGGACUGUUAGCCUGUCUCUUUCAAAGGUAACAAAAUCAGCCUACCAGCACCUCUAAAGCCGACUAAUUUACAUGUCAUCACUGUUUUACAUGUUUAUGUCACUUUUGUUUUAGUCCAUACACAAAUGUCAGGCUGUGGUUGGUGACUAUGUGCUGGACUGUUUCUUCGCUAGACACAGUGACUUCCUGUCAAGAUAUAGUAAAUUGUAUAUUUUCCAAAAUG